rnacentral:rRNA from 1 species
UACGGGAGGCAGUAGUGGGGAAUAUUGCACAAUGGGCGCAAGCCUGAUGCAGCCAUGCCGCGUGUAUGAAAAAGGCCUUCGGGUUGUAAAGUACUUUCAGUCGUGAGGAAGGUGUUAAGGUUAAUAACCUUAGCAAUUGACGUUAGCGACAGAAGAAGCACCGGCUAACUCCGUGCCAGCAGCCGCGGGUAAUACGGAGGGUGCGAGCGUUAAUCGGAAUUACUGGGCGUAAAGGGCACGCAGGCGGUUAAUUAAGUUGGAUGUGAAAUCCCCGGGCUUAACCUGGGAAUGGCAUUCAAGACUGGUUAGCUAGAGUCUUGUAGAGGGGGUAGAAUUCCAUGUGUAGCGGUGAAAUGCGUAGAGAUGUGGAGGAAUACCGGUGGCGAAGGCGGCCCCUGGACAAAGACUGACGCUCAUGUGCGAAAGCGUGGGGAGCAAACAGGGAUUAGAUACC